rnacentral:rRNA from 1 species
AGAGUUUGAUCAUGGCUCAGGAUGAACGCUAGCUACAGGCUUAACACAUGCAAGUCGAGGGGAAACGACAUACGAAAGCUUGUCUUUUGUAGUGGGCGUCGACCGGCGCACGGGUGAGUAACGCAUAUCCAACCUGCCCACCACUUGGGGAUAACCUUGCGAAAGUAAGACUAAUACCCAAUGAUAUCUCUAGAAGACAUCUGAAAGAGAUUAAAGAUUUAUCGGUGAUGGAUGGGGAUGCGUCUGAUUAGCUUGUUGGCGGGGUAACGGCCCACCAAGGCAACGAUCAGUAGGGGUUCUGAGAGGAAGGUCCCCCACAUUGGAACUGAGACACGGUCCAAACUCCUACGGGAGGCAGCA